rnacentral:rRNA from 1 species
UGGUCCUACGGGAGGCAGCAGUGGGGGAUAUUGCACAAUGGGGGAAACCCUGAUGCAGCGACACCGCGUGGGUGAAGAAGCGCUUCGGCGUGUAAAGCCCUAUCAGUGGGGAAGAAAAAGGACGGUACCCAAAGAAGAAGCACCGGCUAAAUACGUGCCAGCAGCCGCGGUAAUACGUAUGGUGCAAGCGUUAUCCGGAAUGACUGGGUGUAAAGGGAGCGUAGACGGUUUAGCAAGUCAGAAGUGAAAGCCCGGGGCUUAACUCCGGGACUGCUUUUGAAACUGUUGAACUAGAUUGCAGGAGG